rnacentral:rRNA from 1 species
GACGAACGCUGGCGGCGGGCUUAACACAUGCAAGUCGAACGGAAAGGCCCUGCUUUUGUGGGGUGCUCGAGUGGCGAACGGGUGAGUAACACGUGAGUAACCUACCCUCGACUUUGGGAUAACUACAGGAAACUGGGGCUAAUACCGGAUAGGAUCUCCUGCUACAAGGUGGGGGUUGGAAAGUUUCGGCGGUUGGAGAUGGACUCGCGGCUUAUCAGCUUUCUGUUGGGGUAGUGUCAUACCAAGGCUUUGACGGGUGGCCGGCCUGAGAGGGUGACCGGCCACGUUGGGAUUGGGAUACGGCCCAGACUCGUACGGGAGGCAGCGGUGGGGAAUAUUGUACUAUGGGCGGAAGCCUGAUGCAGCACAGCCGCGUGGGGUAUGACGGCCUUCGGGUUGUAAACCGCUUUCGCCUGUGCCGAAGCGUUAGUGACGGUAAUGGGUAAAGAAGCACCGGCUAACUACGUG